rnacentral:rRNA from 1 species
AUUGAACGCUGGCGGCAGGCCUAACACAUGCAAGUCGAGCGAGCGGCGGACGGGUGAGUAAUGCCUGGGAGUUGCCCAGUCGAGGUGGAUAACAGAUGGAAACGACUGCUAGUACCGCAUACGAUUGGCUUGCCCGGGGUGGAUUAGCUAGUUGGUGAGUUAAUGGCUCACCAAGGCGACGAUCCAUAGCGGGCCUGAGAGGAUGAUCAGCCACACUGGGACUGAGACACGGCCCAGACUCCUACGGGAGGCAGCAGUGGGGAAUAUUGCACAAUGGGGGAAACUCUGAUGCAGCAAUGCCGCGUGUGUGAAGAAGGCUUUCGGGUUGUAAAGCACUUUCAUCGAUGAGGCGUUACUCGAAGAAGAAGCACCGGCUAACUCCGUGCCAGCAGCCGCGGUAAUUC